rnacentral:rRNA from 1 species
UACAGAGGCCUCGAGCGUUAGGCGGAAUCACUGGGCUUAAAGCGUGUGUAGGCGGACUUCUAAGUGCCUUGUGAAAUCCCACGGCUCACCCGUGGAACUGCUGGGCAUACCGGGAGUCUUGAGCCACCUAGGGGCGAGCGGAACAAAUGGUGGAGCGGUGAAAUGCGUAGAUAUUGGGAGGAACACCAGAGGCGAAGGCGGCGCACUGGACGGUAACUGACACUCAAUUGCGAAAGCGUGGGGAGCAAACAGG